AGUGAACGCUGGCGGUAGGCCUAACACAUGCAAGUCGAACGGCAGCACAGUAAGAGCUUGCUCUUACGGGUGGCGAGUGGCGGACGGGUGAGGAAUACAUCGGAAUCUACUUUUUCGUGGGGGAUAACGUAGGGAAACUUACGCUAAUACCGCAUACGACCUACGGGUGAAAGCAGGGGAUCUUCGGACCUUGCGCGAUUGAAUGAGCCGAUGUCGGAUUAGCUAGUUGGCGGGGUAAAGGCCCACCAAGGCGACGAUCCGUAGCUGGUCUGAGAGGAUGAUCAGCCACACUGGAACUGAGACACGGUCCAGACUCCUACGGGAGGCAGCAGUGGGGAAUAUUGGACAAUGGGCGCAAGCCUGGUCCAGCCAUACCGCGUGGGUGAAGAAGGCCUUCGGGUGGUAAAGCCCUUUUGUUGGGAAAGAAAAGCAGCAGGUUAAUACCCCGCUGUUCUGACGGUACCCAAAGAAUAAGCACCGGCUAACUUCGU
rnacentral:rRNA from 1 species